AAAGGAAGAUAUAAAAGUAAGGUUGAUAAUGUCCCCUGUCAUGAGAGGUAUUGCAUCCGGAUCUCUGACCCGGCUUAUGUGUUGAGAAUGGAAAGUGAAGUUUCAGUUGCUUGCCAGUGUUUCUGCAUGUCACACUAUUAUUGUACCCUUGAACGCACACACAGAAUUAUGGUGAUGUUUUGGUUGCAUAAACUUCUGAGCUGGGUGAUGCUCUGGUUCCUCCUGGUAUGGCCUGCUGCCACCCUGGGACCAGGCAGUGGAGUGGAGCAAGCACAGCAGUGGACAGAAUUCCAGCCAUGGAGCCCAGCACAAGAAUCUGCAGCCCCAUCUCUGCAGAAUAAGGUUUGCACAACAUGUCCAUCAUGGUGAUAUCUGAGCACCUUUCAGAGCUGCAUAAAGUGAUGUGACUGGCUUCUGUCAUGUACGUUGCCGUCUGUACUUCUGUCUUCUCUCAAGUUCACCCUGAUCUUUCCUGAAAUAUGUAUGAAGCACAGGGAGCUCUGGUUACUCUCUUCCUCCUCCUUUUCAAACUCUUUCAAGUG